rnacentral:rRNA from 1 species
GAUCAUGGCUCCGGAUGAACGCUAGCUACAGGCUUAACACAUGCAAGUCGAGGGGAAACGACAUCGAAAGCUUGCUUUUGAUGGGCGUCGACCGGCGCACGGGUGAGUAACGCGUAUCCAACCUGCCCACCACUUGGGGGAUAACCUUGCGAAAGUAAGACUAAUACCCAAUGAUAUCUCUAGAAGACAUCUGAAAGAGAUUAAAGAUUUAUCGGUGAUGGAUGGGGAUGCGUCUGAUUAG